UCUGAAUCCAUAUUUUGUGACCGUGGUGCUUUUCAAUUCAUUUUCAGUUUAUGCGCCUAAUAGGCUGGCUAGGUGAAAUUAAGAGAUGGAGACACUUGCCCAAGGUCACCUACUGGGUUUUCAAGUUGCACGGGGGCUUAUAAAACCCUGAUCCAUUUAGAAUGAUGUGCACACGGGAGGCUUCAAUAGUAUACAUCUCUUACUGGGUUUGGAACCAUGUGCACAAAUGGAUAUUGCAUGUAUUGCUCAAGGACAUCAUGUAAUAUCCAAUUUGUGUGUGUGUGUCUUUCUUAUGUCAGGAAACUGGUAGCUGCAAGCAUAGACCAGACCAAGAUCAUCAGCCCUGAUAGUACAACUCAGCGGGAGUAAAGGCAGAUAUUCAGCCUGGUUUGGUUUCUGUGAAUUUCCGUGUGAACUGAUCUCCUGAUUUGCAUAUUUCAGAGCAAUGUGCAGACCAGGAAGUGAUUUCCCUUAGAAUUUCAAAAUCCUCCCAAUUUUGUGAUAUACUUACUGUCUCCAAAAAUAGUCAUACCAAAAUGUGUGGGAAAUGUGUAUUUAAACAGGCAUACAUUUGAAGUGCCUGAAGACAGUCAGGUCAUGUAUCUACAGCAGUGAUCAGACGAGGAAUGACCACUUGGAAGAGCGCAGAGAGAAGAAACAUCAUGGUGCAUCUGCGGCAGCACAACCGGAUGCCUUCCUCUGCCUCAGCUGCAAUGAAACAUGUCUCUCCCCUAUCAGUCUCUACAGUCACAGCAGGCACUGCAACUUUCCAGCAGUUUGACCUCACCCCACCCCCCAAAGAUAUCGCCUGGCUGGAGCAUGACCGGGGACGCAGACGUAAUCAAGUAUCGGGGGAACAUCUGAGGGAAACACCUCCUAACACGUGUAUUUGCUAACGCUGGAAAUGUGCUUAGAUGGAAAUACGUUAAGUUCAGGGUGGUUUCACUACUGUUUCCAAUUGUUGUAAAAGGUAAAGAUAAAGGGACCCCUGACCAUUAGGUCCAGUCGUGACCGACUCUGGGGUUGCGGCGCUCAUCUCGCUUUAUUGGCUGAGGGAGCCAGCGUACAUCUUCUGGGUCAUGUGGCCAGCAUGACUAAGCUGCU
rnacentral:lncRNA from 1 species